UCUUUUUUUAUUUCUAAACUCUCUUCUUUCAUUUCAAUUUUAAACCUUACUACCAACUAGAACAAAUCCAUACCUUACUUUUCUUCAAGAUGGCAAGCACUAAUUCACAAAGAUGUUGCUUUCUCAUCAGAUGCAAAAAUAGAGGCCAAGUUUUGCCUCCUCUUUUCAAAUCGUUACUAUCUCAACAUGGCCAUCAUAGAAUUAUCUUCAUGCAUGGAAUAGAACAAUGGAAUAUUACAGUAAAUGAUGACUUGUUUGGAGCAGGAUGGGAUGAAUACUGUGAACAGAAUAUUGCUAAGGAACAUCACAUACUAUUGCUUCGACAUACUGGGAAUUUAUUUUUUGAUGUUAUUAAUUUUUGUGAACUGCAACAGCAAGUUAAUCUCAGCUGGACAAUCCCUCUAACCAACCUUCAUCUUCAGCAAGAUUGUAUACAUUCAUAAUACAUCUUUAUCCUUUCUAUUUCAUACUAAUGUUCCAAUCCGACAUUAUUUAUUCCAACAAAAAUGUUUCUUAUGUGCAGCUCAUGCUUGUUCACCAAUUCAUGAAGAAAUAGUGACAUCUUCACUUCAACCUCAUUUUUCGUAAGAUUUAUCCAGUUCAGUAUGCUUUUAUCAAAACUUUCACUCAGAUGACCCGUAUACAUUGAAAAUCCCACGAUUUGUUGACUACUUUCUCAAUGAACAAAAAACUCCACUUAUAGCUCUCAGAACUGGAGAUAACAUAUCAGAAAUUGGGAUGAAAGGGAAGCGGCUCAAAAAAAAUUGGAAAGCUUUCGUUCUCCAACAUCAACUCCAGCACAAUGACGUCCUUGUUUUCAUCCCAGAAUCAAGGACUAUCUUUACUGUUUUAAUAUUUGAUAGCAAUGGGGAUGAAAAAAUUUUCCCUUGGUACCCUGUAUUUCAUAUGCAUUAUUAUAAUUAGCCAAUUUAUUAUUAUAGUUACUCAUUAACUUUUUGU